AAGUUCCUUAUCCUCUCUGAGACCCAUCAGAAUACCUGGGGAAAAAGAGCCAAAGGUUUCCAGUGCCUCCUCUCCAAGGUCAUGGCAUUUCCUGGGUCAGCCAGCAGUGAGGGGCUGGGCUGAGCUGCCCAUCUGGGAGACCCAGCAAGAGGCAACAGGAGGCAGCUGAGCAGGAGGAAUCUCCACUCUUUGGACCACUGCGCACUCAGGGGGCCCUCCCAUGUCACUUGCACACUGCCAGUAACAGAGGACUCACUCCCUCUGAAUGCAUUCCACUUGCAAUCUUGGUUUCGAGGGAAACAUAACCAGGGGUAGGGAGGAUUAUGCUCCAUGGGGAAGUGCUGAGGUGGUCUCCAAAGCACCUGUCCUCUCCAGCCCUCUUCCCUCAGCUUCCAGAUAACCAAGCACAAUGCCCAGAUUGGAAAUCAUUAUCUACUAAAGAUACAUGCUCCCAGCAAGUGCUAGAUCCCAGGGCUGGCUCGUGAUUCCCAUCUGCCUAACUGGAAAAUCAUCCACUCUCGAGCGCCCUCACUUCCCCAGCAUGGGCUGCUACAGACUUCCACUCUCAGCUCCCUAAGAAGUUUGACUCAGCCUGUGACCUUGGGCCAAUCGCUCCCAUCCUCCAGGCCUCAGUGUCCACAUCUGUCAAAUGGAGGAACAACCUCUAAAUGUGUUACCUUCCAACUGGCACAGAUCCCCGGACUGUCAUCUUCUCAAUGGGUGGAGAUAGACCAGGCCAGCUGGGCCCCUGGCUAAGGCAGGGAUGGAAGCACAGAUCCCAGGCCCAUCCUGGUGCCCGUUUCAUCAAUGCCUGCUUUGUCUGGAGCUCACAGCAAGCAGGACUGGACUCCCUGAUGGGUCUGAGAGUCCGUGGAAGCAGGAAAAAUUCUGACUCAUCUCAAUGCAAUACCUCCUAUUCUACACAUGAGGAAAAGUGAGACUGGAUCACUGAAUACUCCACAGAUCACUGACACCCACCUGAAUACUCCAUAAGCAAAGAAAGUGAGGUCAGAGGCCGUUUUGCAGUCAGAUACUGAAACCCAGGAGACGAAACACCUGUUCAUAACCCUUCAUUCCCCCAAACACCGAGAGCUGUCCCGUGCUUUGGGGAACCCAAGGGGAGGGAAGAAGCAGAGAGAGAACAAAGGGGACUCUGGACCCAGUCUGUUCCCCAAACAGUGACCCCAGCCCCCAGCCCUGCCUGCCUCUUUGGAAUCACACCUCCUGCCAUCUGCCACCUGUCUGCCCCCUGCCACAGCAGGUGCUUGGAGAGCAGAGAGAGCAGGGUUCACUCCCAUUUUGUUACUCAUGAUCUGUGAGACCUUGGGUGAGUCUUUGAACCUGUCAGAGGCUCGGAUUCCUCAUUUGUGAGUGGGGAUGACAGGCCUUUCUCACCUGCUUUCACAUCCUACCCACGGGAAAGCUCUAAGCAGGAAGCACGGGCCCAGCCAUGCUUUGCUCCUUUCCUCUUUCCUCCCCUUGACCUCUAAGGAGAGAACUCAGAAGGCAAGGACCCCUGCAUGAGUGUGCGAAGGGCAAGGAUCAGGUCUGAGUCUCUCACUACCUGCCCCCCACCCCAUCUCCAGCACAGCCUCUACACAGAAAAGGAAGUCAGCAAAAAUCAUGGGGCGCUUCCGCUCCCCAGACAUCUGCCACAGGCACAUUCCAUAAAAAGCAGGUGUUUAGGAUUCUAAACUCUCAGCAGGACACAUUAGGACAAAUCCAGAGAGCAGAACAGGCAUCCCAGAGAAAAAUCUGGGCCUGAUGGUGACCUACGAGCUCCCUUGCUGCCUAAUAAGCCAGUGGAAUCACUGAAUAGAAGGGGCUUCUUAUGGUUCCCUUGCUUGCCCACACAUUAGAAUCACCUGGGAGCUCCUAGGACUCCCAAUGUCUGAUUGUUCCCCCAAAUCAAUUAAAUCAGAACACCUCGGGGGAGGAGCUAGGCAUCAGCAUGUUUUAGGGUCCCCAGAUGAUUCCAAUAUGAUGCAAACUUUUCGGCCACUGGGCUAUAGGACAAGUUAGUGACUGUGGGCAGCCAGCCAAGAUUUGACCUCGCUCAGAGUGCGUUCUUAUCCCUCGCCCCUUCUGGUCCUCAUCUGUCAGCUCAGGGGCCACAUUAUUACACCCACUGUACAGAUGAGGAAAGUGAAACCUAGGAUGUUGCCAUGUCUCCUAAGACAAUCAGAGAUGGAGCUGCAACUGUUAGGGAAGAGAGCCCAAUCUCUGGACCCUUAAAGUUGGGCUCUUCCUACACUGACACAGCCACAGUAGGCCCUUGGAGAUCAUCACAAAGAGACCAGGACCCUAACUUCCCAGCCUUUCCUGGGAGGAGGCUCUGAUGGUGGUGGGGAGAGCAGAGAAGGAGGGUGCCUGAGGAAGACAGGGAGUGGGGGCUGCAGGCUGGAUAUAGGCCAGCAUGCUGGGCCAACUCGCGCCUGGUCCUCCGUAGGCUCUGGCUCCAACCCAGCAACCUCUCCCCCUCCGACUUCAUCCUGUGGUGUGUGAGGGUCUGUUCUGGGGUGGUGAGGCCCAGACAUUACCUCUUUAUCUGAAUCUUUCCUGACAUCCCUCCGAUAACAAAGAAGGUGGCUCAAUAGGGAGAUUUACCAGGGAUUUAAGAUUCUUCCUCUAGGUCUGUGUUGGAAACACCAACGUCCACAUAAAGCCCAAGGCACCAUCAGUGGGGAAAUCAGAGGGGCCCACAGCAGCUCUGGGGGCUGGCUUAGCUCCCACCAUCCCUUGCAAUCUUUGAAGACUGCCAGCAGCCAUGUGUCCAGCCCCCAGCCCAUCCAUUUCAGGGGAAUGAGAAAAGGCGAGGAGACCAGCCAAGUUACAUAGCACAGGAUGAUGCACUGCUUUGCAGUCACUCAGACUGGAAUUCAAAUCCCACCUCUGUGGUGCCCUUUUGCUGCGUGACCUUGGACGAGCUGCUUUAACCCCUCCAAGCCUUGGAGCUCUCAUGGAUAAAAUGGUGGUAAUAACGAUCGUCACCUCCAGGUAGUUGUGGGACUGGGAUUAAAUAACAUCCGUGCUGGCUAUGGGCCCCUGGAUAUGUUA